UAAUUUUUAAUAAAAAAAAUACAAAUUCUAUGAGAAUAAAAAUAAAUAUAUGCAAAAAUAAAAGUGAAAAAUAUAAAUAUUAUGAGAAUAAAUAUAAAAAUAUUUAAGGACAAAGAUGAAAAAAAAAAAUAUAUAUUUUGGGGUCAAAAUAUAAAAUACCUAAAAGAUUAUAUACAAAAUUUAUAUGAAUAAAAAAUUGAGGAGGGGCAAAUGACCCCACAUGCCCCCCUUCUCUCUGCCUCUGCCACCAGUCGACCUUCUAUUAUCAACACAAAAUGCCCAGUUAGCAACAAAGUACCCAUUUCGAAAGGUAGAUAUUACAUGAGAGAAAUAGAGACCAUUAGUUCCUUUGAGAUAUCUCAAUAACCGUUUACAUUUCCCAAUAAAUUAAGGUAGGAGCAUGAAUAAACUAGUUCAACUUGUUUAUAAUAAAAGUCACAUCAAACCUGGUGAGAGUAAGAUAUUGUAAUGCUCCCAUGGUACUUCUAUAAAGAGUCUUAUCUUCAAAUGGUUCUCUUUUAUGUAAAGACAAUUUUGUUGCUAAGCUAGUUGGAUUUGGGAAAUUCUUAGCCCCUUCCAUGUUCAAUUUUAGAGCAAGUCUAAGGACACGGCAAAAUUUUGUAUAUGCCGUUAUUUUUGUUCCAAGGAGACUGCAAUUGUGCCACUAUUUUCAAGUUUUGUCUACAGUGCACAGCAUAAAUGCCGUGCACUGUAGAUCACUGCAUUUUUUUUUAAUAAUUUAAUUAAUAUUUAUAUAUAAUUAUAUUAUUAUAAUUAUAAAAUUUAGAAUUAUUUUUUGAAAAAUUUUACAAUAUACAUUUUUAAAAGUGAUGUACGAAUCUACUCUUAUUUUUAGUCUAUUUUUUUUUAUACAAUAGUGUAUAUUAUAGUUAUUUAAUACAUUUUGCAAAAUUUUGAAAAAAUUAGAAAAAUUUAACACGCCGAAAACUGCACUUCUCUAAAAGUGUCGCACUGAUAUACUCCUACCUGUUUCGACAUUCAAGAGAUUUAUGUAAUCUUUUUUUAUAGUCUGUGUACAUUAUACUUAUUUAAGACAUUUUGCAAAAUUUUAAAAAAUUUAGAAAAAUUUAACACGCCGAAAAUAAAAUUCAAAUUUUCUAUCAUGUGACUCUUUUAAAUAUAACAAUUGUGGCAAUUUUUGUUAAUUAGUAUGAUAUUAAUUUUUUUAUUAUUUUAUUAAAAAUUAAUAUAUAAUAAUAAAGAAUAUUUUUUUAGUGUAAUUUUUGGUGUUGUGGUUGGAGUGAAAAUAUUUUUUGACGCCAAAUUUAGUGAUAGUGUAACACUAAAUUCAGUGUAUCCUUGGAGAUGCUCUUACAAGAAGAUUUGUAACGUACUUUGUUUGAAAAAGGUACAUUCUAGUGGCAUCCAUAAAAAUUUUCACUCCAAAGGAAAUAUUGAACAUGACCUAAGUCUUUUGAAUGAGAGAGGUUGGUUUUUUUAAUAAAAGAAUAAAUAUGAAAAUUUAAGGAAUACAAACAAUUGUUGAUAUAUUUAAUUUUUGUAGGGAGUGAUGUUAAUAGUGAGUUUUAUAACACUUUUUUUAAUCAUUUUUUUUAAUGAAAAUAUUUUCUUAUGUUUUAUAAAACUGUUUUUAUUUUUAAAUUUUUUAAAAAAUAAUCAAAAUUUUGAAAAAGCCACUUUUAAAAUUUAUUUAAAUAUUUUUUUCUUUUUAAUUAUAAUUUAUUUGUAUUUUGUUAUAGUAAUUUGCGACAUAAAUACUUAGGUUUAAUUUAUAGUUGCAAAUAAAUACUUCCGUUUAAUUUUUUACAAUAAUAAUAAGUUAUAAUUCUAAAACUUAUAGGUACUUGCCUAUUUAGUGUCAGGUAAAUUAUUAGUGGCAAUUCCUGAUUGGUCAAAGUCACUAAUUUUUUAUUUAAAAAUUAAUUCAAAUAUUCCAAUUAGAAAAUGACACAUGGAUAAUGACUUGACACUUAACGACCAGAUAUUUACAGAAGUUCCAGAAAUAUAACUUAGGUAUUAUUACCGUAAAAAAUUAAACUUAGAUGUUUAUUUGCAACUGAGAGUUAAACUUAGGUAUUUACGCCGCAAAUUACUUUUUUUUUUAUCAUUAUUUUGGACAUGGACCUCAGUUUAAACUCCAAUCCCGAAUCAUGACCCGACCGCGGGCCCCUAGACCCAAACAUAGACUUGGACCCCAGACCCUAGGCUUGGGCCCGAUCCUUGACCCUAGCUCAGACACUGAACCCUUAAUUGAACCUAACCUCAGACCUUGGACUCGGGCCUCACCCCAACUCUGGCUCAAACCCUAAACCUUGACCCCUCGGACUUUGGCUUAGACCCCAGACCCGCCUUCUGGAUUCGAACUCGACCCUAGCCCUUGAACCCGAACAUUGAACCCCCAACCCUCGAACCUGAACAUCGAACCCCGCCCUCUAGACCCGAACUUAACCCUAGCCUUUGAACCUGGACUCCGAACCCCAAACUCAGACCUAACCUAUGGCCCCGAACCCCGAACUCAAUGUCGGAUCCCGACCUACUUUCUCUCACCUUAGUUUCUCAUUCCUUAUUUAAAUAAAAAACAUAAAAUAAAAAUAAAUUUAUAAAAUACACUUUUGUAAAUUAUGAAGCAAAGUGUAGAUUGGAUGUACUUUUACUACGUGUAAAAUUAACUAAUUCAAUUUAUACUCUUUCUUACAAAUAUUUUAAAGCAUUCCGUAUGAAAGUGCAAUAUUUUAGAAGUGUGUAUUUAGUCACUAGCACUAUUUAGUAUUUUGAAAUAUUAGUUAUGAAAGUUCAAUAUUUUAGAAUUUUAGGUGUAAUAUUUUAAUUAGAUUGAAUAUAUUUACGGUAAAAAAAUUUGGGUAUAAAAGUGUAAUAUUUUGAAAUAUUGAGUAUAUUUACUAAACAAAAAAUAUAUAUAUCAAUCAAUAUCAAUAUCAAUCAAUCAAUAUCAAUAUAUAAUAUAAAGGAAAGCACAAAACAUCUUAAGUGGCAUUCUAAUCUUCUUCUAUUCUCUAUUUUCUAUUUUUUUCAAUUUCUAUUUUUUUAAUACUUAUAUUUUUAGUUCCUUCAAAAAAAUACUUAUAUUUUUAGUUUGAAGUAAUUAAUUCAUUUCAAAUUGAUGUCUAGCCUUAAUACUAUUGGCCCUUUAAUUAUUAUGUAUUUUAUUCUUAAUUAUAUGUGUUAUUUGAAAAGACCACCUAUCAUUAAUUAUGUAGAUAUUAUUUUUUUUUUAUCAAUUAUAUAUUAUUGAUAAUUUCACACUAAUGUCUAUAUAGAUAUUCUUUAUUUAUUUAUUUUUUUUUUACUUUUUUAAUUAUUUAUUUUUAAUUUUUAAUUAAUAAAAAAACAAAAUAAUAAAUCAACACUCUUUCUAUAAAAUAUAAAUAAUUAAUAAUCAACAUCAAUCAAUAUAGCUAUCUAUAUAUAAAAGAAAACUUUGAAAAAGUGAUGUGGCAUCUUCUACUUCUAGGAUUUUAAUCUUUUAAUUUUGUAAUUUUUUCACUAUAUUAUUUAUAUUAUUUACUUUUAUCAUACUCUAUCUAUCUAUACAUAAAUAUAAUAAAAUGUAAUUGAAUUUAAUAUAAACUCCAUAACCUCUCAUAUUAAAAACAUUAUUUAUCAUUAUAAUUAACAUUAACAUUAACAUGAUAGAAUAGAAUAAGUCACUUUUUAUUUUAUAGUUUUUUACAUUAUUUAAUUUAAUUAUAUAUCUAUACAUUAUUAAUACAAUGUAACUUAGCUUUAAUCAUUAAUUUUAAUCAUAAUCUCUAAAAUUAAAAAUACACUAUUCACUAUUGUAAUCAACAUUAACAUUCUUGUAGAAUAUAAUAAGUCUCUUUUUUCAUAUUAAUUAAUAUCUAUCAUGGAAUUGAUUUCUAUAAUGUUUAACAUUAAUUAUAAUUGUAAUAUUUUAUAUUUCUCUUCCUCAUUAUGUAUAUAAAUAUAUUUUACGUUUUAUUUAUUGUUAUUAUUAUUUUAGUAUUAUUUUUAUUGUUAUGAUUAAUAUAUGCAUGUAAUUGUAAAAUUGUUAAUAUAUAUAAUCAAUAAUAUAUCACUAAUACAAUACAACUAACUCUUAAAAUUCUCCAUAAACAAAACUCACUUAGUAGUUAAUAAUGAAGUAAAUUCAAUAAAUAUAUUUCAUUUAUUAUAUAAGUGUCUUUUGAAUUCUAUAGCCAUGCUUCAUCUAUAUUUAAAGAACAUUCUUAUGCUAUUAGCAUAUUGCAAAAAGAAACAAAAUAUCAAUACUUCAUAUAAAAUCACUAUUAUUGUUUGUAGUUUUAUUUCUUUGUUUUUAAAAUAUUCUUUAAUAAUUUUUUUUUGUUGGAGCUACAUUUCAGUUUGGAAGAUUUUUUACUUCUCUCUAUUUAGAGAAACACAACCAAUUGUUGAUCGUUGAUAGAUAUAAUGAUGAUCACAAUUAUUUCUACAAUUUUUUUCUAUAUAUAUUUGUUAAGUUUGUAGAUGAAAGUUGCUAUGAGUUCCUCCAAGAAAAUUAAUAUAGUAAUUUUGGUUAAAUUAAAGUAAAUCUCAUCUCUCAUGUAUUUGUUUCUUCAAAUUUUAAUCUCUUUUUCUUCUUCUUCUUCUUCUUCUUUUUUUUUUUUUUUUUGUGAAAAUGAAAUUUUAAAUUUUCAAAUUGUUUUAUUGCCAUUUUUUCUUACAAAUGUAUUUAUUAUAUAAAUAUAUAUAUGUAUACCAUGAAUUUGUAAGGUUUCUAAUUUUAUGCUAUGAUUUACGCAUAUAUAAGUUAUAUACAUAAAAUCACUUCUAUUUACUUAAAUUUUUUCAACAUUUAAUUUUUAAAUUACUAAUUUUUUGCUAAGUGGAGGAUUAAGCUUCUCACUACAACCAUUGAGUUUUUUAGAGAGGAUAAAAGUCCUCUCUAGAGAGCUCUACCCCAAAAAACAUAGUUUAUCCAAUAUUCAUCACUUACAUAAACAGUAAGGAAAUUUAUGAUAUACUUUUCAAUCAACUAUUUGUAUAUAUGCUCAUUGUUGAAGAGAAUUGUGAAUUUUAUUGUAUUAUUAUUUCAAUUCUUUUUUUAAAAAAAUUAUUUUAAAGGAAACAUUGUAUUUCUCUCUUUACAUAGCAGAAUUUUUGAGAUGUCAUGUGACAGUUUUCUCCUAAUUUUAUUUUUCUCAAAUUUUUAAAAUUUUUAGCUUUUUUCUUUUGAUAAUUAGUAGGAAUAAUUUUAUUUCAACACUUAACCAAAGCCACAAUAUAAUGAAUUAGGCAACAAAUAAAUUAAAUUAAAAUAUAAACUAUAAUAUUUAUAUAGAGAAAGAAAGAUAAAAUUGGUUCUACAAAUAAAGGUGAUAAAUUUAAAUUUUUACAUUUACUUUAUUUUAUUAAUUUUAUUCAAAAGAAAAAAUUAACCUUAUUAUUUAUUAAUCUAAUACUAUUUCUUGGUAAUAUAACUGAGAAUCUUAGUAAACAUCAUUUAUCUUUUUAACUUUAACUUGAAAUUAAUAUAAGUGUACACGUAUAAAAUAUAUGUAUUUUAAUUUUUAAAUGUGAAGUUAAAAAAAACACUCUUAAAAAAGCCCUAACUAUAUGCUAAGAAUAAACCCUUAAAAUUUUUUCUUUUUUUAUCUCAGUCUCUUUUUUAUUUUUAUUUUUAUUUCUAGAAAAUAAAAAUUGUAGCUAAUAGUUUGGUGUGUGGCAUUAGUGACUAUUAUUAAUUAAUAUAAUAAAUUUUUUAUUGACUCUAAUAAAUAUGAUAUUAUUUAACUUUAAAUUACAUAUAGAGCAUUAUAUCAAUUUCAAAUCAAUAUCUAUUAAAAUUUAAGGCAUAUCGUUGUACUUCUAUUUUGCAAGAGGACAUUAGUAUAAAAAAUAAAAAAUCUAGGCAGAAUACAUGAUUUACAAAAAAGUAAAAUUAAUUAGAAGCAAAAAGAGAAAAAAAAAUAUAUGAGGCAAUAAAUAGAAAAUAAUAGAAUAAAAUGAUGCUUUCAAUUAUUAAAAGACCGCGCGAAGCGCGGAUACGUUGCCUAGUAUAAAUAUAAA